CCUACGGGUGGCAGCAGUGAGGAAUAUUGGUCAAUGGUCGCAAGACUGAACCAGCCAAGCAGCGUGCAGGAUGACGGCUCUAUGAGUUGUAAACUGCUUUUAUGCGGGGAUAAAAUGCGUCACGUGUGAUGUUUUGUAGGUACCGCAUGAAUAAGGACCGGCUAAUUCCGUGCCAGCAGCCGCGGUAAUACGGAGGGUCCGGGCGUUAUCCGGAUUUAUUGGGUUUAAAGGGAGCGUAGGCCGCAUGUUAAGUGUGAGGUGAAAUCCCGAGGCUCAACUCCGGAAUUGCGGCGGAUACUGGCCGGCUAGAGAGUAGUGGCGGUAGGCGGAAUGUAUGGUGUAGCGGUGAAAUGCUUAGAGAUCAUACAGAACACCGAUUGCGAAGGCAGCUUAC
rnacentral:rRNA from 1 species